UACGUAGGAGACGAGCGUUGUCCGGAGUUACUGGGCGUAAAGGGUGCGCAGGCGGCCCGCCGCGUGUGGGGUAAAAUCUCCCGGCUCAACUGGGGGGGGGCCUUGCAGACGGGCGGGCUUGAGGGUCGCAGAGGGGCGUGGAAUUCCGGGUGGAGCGGUGAAAUGCGUAGAGAUCCGGAGGAACACCGACGGCGAAGGCAGCGCCCUGGACGACACCUGACGCUCAGGCACGAAAGCUGGGGGAGCAAACAGG
rnacentral:rRNA from 1 species